rnacentral:rRNA from 1 species
UACGGGGGGGGCAAGCGUUGUUCGGAUUCACUGGGCGUAAAGGGUGCGUAGGUGGCCAGGUAAGUUCGGUGUGAAAGCUCGGAGCUUAACUCCGAAAUGUCAUUGAAUACUAUCUGGCUAGAGGGUCGGAGGGGAGACUGGAAUUCUCGGUGUAGCAGUGAAAUGCGUAGAUAUCGAGAGGAACACCAGUGGCGAAGGCGGCUCACUGGUCCGGUACUGACGCUGAGGUGCGAAAGCGUGGGGAGCAAACAGG